rnacentral:lncRNA from 1 species
CAGGCUAGGGGUCAAUCAGAGCUGUAGCUGCCGGCCUACACCACAGCCACAGCAACGUAGGAUCUGAGCCACAUCUUUGACCUACACCACAGCUCAUGGCAACACCAGAUCCUUAACCCACUGAGCGAGGCCAGGGAUCGAACCCACAUUCUCAUGGAUACUAGUCAGGUUCGUUAACCACUGAGCCACGAUGGGAACUCAAAAUUCACCACAUACUCUCAAUUUUUUUAAAAAAUUAUAAAUAAAAUUGGAGUAAGUGGAUAGUUUCUAAAUAUAUUAUGCCAAAAAUCAACAAUGAUCAUGCUCAAUGUGAAAUGCUGAGAACAUUUUCAUCAAAGUCAAGAAUAAUUCUAGGGGCACAUUAGGCACACCUGGAUAAGAGAAAGAAGUGAGGGGUAUAAAUAAGAAAGAAGGAGGCAAAACUGUCAUUUUUGUGAACAUUAAGUUCAAGAUCAUCUAGAAACUAUUAAAACCAAUUAGAGAAUUUAGUAUGGCUGCUGAAUAGAGACCAAUACAUGCAAAACUUCAACAAUUACGUGAAAGAUGUGAGUUUUAAAUACGUGAUUUCAAAGAAGAGCAUGAAAGUAUGUUCAACAUCAUUAGCCCCCAGGGAAGUGGAAAUUAAAAUGAUGAUAGAUAGUGGAGUUCCCAUCGUGGUUCAGUGGUAACAAACCCAACUUGUAUCCAUGAAGACUCUGGUUCAAUCCCUGGCCUCGCUCAGUGGGUUAAUGGUCCAGCGGCAUUGCCGUAAGCUGGGGUGUAGGUCACAGACAUAACUCGGAUCCCACAUGUCUGUGGCUGUGGUGUGGGCAGGCUCCUACAGCUCCAAUUCAACCCCUACCCUGGGAACCUCCAUAUGCAGUGGGUUCGGGCCUAAAAAGACAAAAAUAAAUAAAUAAAUAAUACUGGCGGGAGUGAAAAAUGAUGCAGCCACUCUGGAAAACAAAUGGCAGCUGCUUAAAAAGUUAAACAUACGCUCACCAUAUACCCUGUAAAUGUACUCCUGUGCAUUUAUGCUAGAGAAAUGAAAACACGUUCACAGAAAAACUUGUAUGGGCAUGCAUGUUCAUAGCAGCUUUGUUUGUAAUCUCCCCAAACUGGAAAUAACCCUUCCAUGGGUGAGUGGUUAAACCAAAGGAAUAAUAUUCAUCAGUAAGAAAGAACAAACUGGGGUUCCUGCUGUGGCGCGGUGGGUUAAGGAUCUGACUGCAGGAGUUCCCGUCGUGGUGCAGCAGAAACAAAUCCAACUAGGAACCAUGAGGACAAAGGUUUGAUCCCUGGCCUCACUCAGUGGGUUAGGGAUCCGGCAUUGCCAUGAGCUGUGAUGUAGGUUGCAGAUGCGGCUCAGAUCUGGCGUGUCGGUGGCUGUGGUAUAGGCCAGUAGCUGUAGCUCCGAUUCCACCCCUAGGCUGGGAACUUCCAUAUGCCACAGGUGCAGCCCCAAACCAGCCAAAACAACAACAACAAAAACCCAACUGGUAUCCAUGAGGAUGCAGGUUCAAUCCCUGGCCUCACUCAGUGGGUUAGGAUCUGGCAUUGCUGUAAAUGCAGUGUAGAUCACAGAUAGGGCUCGGAUCUGGCAUUGCUGUGGCUGUGGCAUAAGCUGGCAGCUGUAACUCCAGUAUUUUGUCUUGUUUUUGUUUUCCUUUGUGGGUAGAUUUUUAACUUCUGAUUCAACUUGUCAAAGUAUUUAAGUUUUCUAUUCCUUAAAUCGGUUUUAGUAAGACAUACUUUGUCCUAAGAAAAUUUUUUAUUUCCCCUGGGCAUGUUAGCUGUGUAUUGCUGCAUAACAAAUUACUCCAAUAAAACUUCAACAGUCCCAAUCAAAAUCCUAGCAAAUUAUUUUAUGGAUAUCAAUAAACUAAUUCUAAAGUUUGUAUGGCAAAGACCCAGAACAGCCACCACAAAAAGAACAACGUUGGAAGUUUGGCACUACUUUACUACAAGACUUACUGGAAUUCCCUUCAUGGCUCAGUGGUUAAUGAACCCGAUUAACCUAGGAUCUAUGAGGAUUCAGGUUCAAUCCCUGGCCUUGCUCGGUGGGUUAAGGAUCUGGCAUUGCCAUGAGCUGUGGUAUAGGUCUCAGACUCAGCUCUGAUCCCACGUUGCUGUGGCUGUGGUGUAAGCUGGCAGCUGUAGCUCCAAUUUGACCCCUAGCCUGGGAAUUUCCGUAUGCUGCAGGUGUGGCCCUAAAAACAAAAUAGCAAAAAACUCUCUCUGAUGAUAGUAGUGGACUUGUGCAUUUUUUUCUUAAAAUUCUGUCCGGUUUUUCAGUAUAUGUUUUAAAGCUGUAUUGUUAGAUACAAACUAUGUCACAUGUUUCUGGUGAAUUGUUUCUUCUAUUUUUAUGUGAUAACCCUUCAUUCUCAUACCCAAUAAUGCUUUUUGGUUUAUGAUCAAUUUGUCUGAUAUUACUAUAACGGUGCUAGCUUUCUUUGGGUUUGUAUUUAUCCACUACACCUUUUCCCAUCACUUUUUGUGCAUAUUUAUAUGUCGUUAUGUUUCAGUAUGUCUCCUGCAACAGGUAUAGUUGCAUUUUCUUUGUUUAGUAUUUUUCUCCAAUCUGACAUUCUCUUUUAACUGAAAUGUUUUGAUCAUUUACCUUUACUUCAAUCACUAGUAUAUUUGGAAAUAUUCCCUCCACCUUCCACUCUAUUUUCUAUUUGCUGUGUUUCUUUGCUUAUUUUUACCUUUUUCUGGCCUUAAUAAAGUUAUCUAUAUUCCCUUUUCUCUCUCUCUCUCUCUCUCUCUCUUUUUUUUAAGGCCAUUCCCUCGGCAUAUGGAGGUUCCCAAGCUAGGGGUCAAAUCGGAGCUGUAGCCACUGGCCUACACCACAGCCACAGCAAAACAGGAACCAAGCCGAGUCUGUGACCUACACCACAGCUCAUGGCAACGCCAAAUCCUUAACCCAUGGAGCGAGGCCAGGGAUCGAACUUGCGUCCUCACGGAUGCUAGUCAGAUUGGUUUCCUCUGAGCCAUGACGGGAACUCCGCCUUUUCUUUCUCUCAAGGUACAUCUUUAAGUGAAUGAACGCUUUAGGUUAAUAAAUCAAUCAGUAUAUCUACUCUCCUCAAAAACAACUAAAGACAUUGGAACACUUCCACUCUGAUCACUCCUAUCUACAUGGUUUUAUUUGCCAGUGUUGUAGUUCCACUGUGCUUUCAUGUACCUCAAAUUAGUUCGCAUAUGGCCAGACCCCUACACUCAGAUGAAUAAAAGACUAAACAGGAGUUCCCGUCGUGGCGCAGUGGUUAACGAAUCCGACUAGGAACCAUGAGGUUGCGGGUUCGGUCCCUGCCCUUGCUUGGUGGCGUCGCGUGAGCUGUGGUGUAGGUUGCAGAUGCGGCUCGGAUUCCGCGAUGCUGUUGCUCUGGCGUAGGCUGGCGGCUACAGCUCUGAUUAGACCCCUAGCCUGGGAACCUCCAUAUGCCAUGGGAGUGGCCCAAAGAAAUAGCAAAAAGACAAAA